UCGACUUUUGUUGAACUUUUUUUCUUUAUUUCUCAUAUGGUGUUGAGGGCCGGUCAUAUAAACUUGGGCACGGGUCUAGGGAGAAUGUCCUUGGGGGCAGGGCAGAGUUAGUUUAGGGAGCAAUAAGAGGUCAAAGGGAGAUCAAUGAGCUAAAAGUC
rnacentral:rRNA from 1 species